rnacentral:rRNA from 1 species
CAGUCGCCGCGGUAAUACGAAGGGUGCAAGCGUUACUCGGAAUUACUGGGCGUAAAGCGUGCGUAGGUGGUGGUUUAAGUCCGUUGUGAAAGCCCUGGGCUCAACCUGGGAAUUGCAGUGGAUACUGGGUCACUAGAGUGUGGUAGAGGAUAGUGGAAUUUCCGGUGUAGCAGUGAAAUGCGUAGAGAUCGGAAGGAACAUCUGUGGCGAAGGCGACUAUCUGGGCCAACACUGACACUGAGGCACGAAAGCGUGGGGAGCAAACAGGAUUAGAUACCCGUGUAGUCCCUGUCUCUUAUAC